CCUACGGGAGGCAGCAGUGAGGAAUAUUGGUCAAUGGCCGGAAGGCUGAACCAGCCAUGCCGCGUGAAGGUCAGUGCCCUAUGGGCGUUAAACUUCUUUUGUGCGGGAGCAAUAAUGGUCACGUGUGGCCAGACGAGAGUACCGUACGAAUAAGCAUCGGCUAACUCCGUGCCAGCAGCCGCGGUAAUACGGGGGAUGCAAGCGUUAUCCGGAUUUAUUGGGUUUAAAGGGUGCGUAGGCUGUGAGGUAAGUCAGCGGUGAAAUGCCCCCGCUCAACGGGGUGAAGGGCCAUUGAUACUGGCUGGCUGGAAUGCGGAUGCCGUGGGAGGAAUGUGUGGUGUAGCGGUGAAAUGCAUAGAUAUCACACAGAACACCGAUUGCGAAGGCAUCUCACGAAUCCGCGAUUGACGCUGAUGCACGAAAGCGUGGGUAUCAAACAGGAUUAGAUACCCUUGUAGUC
rnacentral:rRNA from 1 species